rnacentral:rRNA from 1 species
GGUAUCAGAAGUGCGAAUGCUGACAUAAGUAACGAUAAAGCGGGUGAAAAGCCCGCUCGCCGGAAGACCAAGGGUUCCUGUCCAACGUUAAUCGGGGCAGGGUGAGUCGACCCCUAAGGCGAGGCCGAAAGGCGUAGUCGAUGGGAAACGGGUUAAUAUUCCCGUACUUGGUGUUACUGCGAAGGGGGGACGGAGAAGGCUAUGUUGGCCGGGCGACGGUUGUCCCGGUUUAAGCGUGUAGGUGUGUGUUCCAGGUAAAUCCGGUUCACUUUAACACUGAGGCGUGAUGACGAGGCACUACGGUGCUGAAGCAACAAAUGCCCUGCUUCCAGGAAAAGCCUCUAAGCAUCAGGUAACAUCAAAUCGUACCCCAAACCGACACAGGUGGUCAGGUAGAGAAUACCAAGGCGCUUGAGAGAACUCGGGUGAAGGAACUAGGCAAAAUGGUGCCGUAACUUCGGGAGAAGGCACGCUGACAUGUAGGUGAAGUGAUUUACUCAUGGAGCUGAAGUCAGUCGAAGAUACCAGCUGGCUGCAACUGUUUAUUAAAAACACAGCACUGUGCAAACACGAAAGUGGACGUAUACGGUGUGACGCCUGCCCGGUGCCGGAAGGUUAAUUGAUGGGGUCAGCGCAAGCGAAGCUCCUGAUCGAAGCCCCGGUAAACGGCGGCCGUAACUAUAACGGUCCUAAGGUAGCGAAAUUCCUUGUCGGGUAAGUUCCGACCUGCACGAAUGGCGUAAUGAUGGCCAGGCUGUCUCCACCCGAGACUCAGUGAAAUUGAACUCGCUGUGAAGAUGCAGUGUACCCGCGGCAAGACGGAAAGACCCCGUGAACCUUUACUAUAGCUUGACACUGAACAUUGAGCCUUGAUGUGUAGGAUAGGUGGGAGGCUUUGAAGUGUGGACGCCAGUCUGCAUGGAGCCAACCUUGAAAUACCACCCUUUAAUGUUUGAUGUUCUAACGUGGACCCGUAAUCCGGGUUGCGGACAGUGUCUGGUGGGUAGUUUGACUGGGGCGGUCUCCUCCUAAAGAGUAACGGAGGAGCACGAAGGUUGGCUAAUCCUGGUCGGACAUCAGGAGGUUAGUGCAAUGGCAUAAGCCAGCUUGACUGCGAGCGUGACGGCGCGAGCAGGUGCGAAAGCAGGUCAUAGUGAUCCGGUGGUUCUGAAUGGAAGGGCCAUCGCUCAACGGAUAAAAGGUACUCCGGGGAUAACAGGCUGAUACCGCCCAAGAGUUCAUAUCGACGGCGGUGUUUGGCACCUCGAUGUCGGCUCAUCACAUCCUGGGGCUGAAGUAGGUCCCAAGGGUAUGGCUGUUCGCCAUUUAAAGUGGUACGCGAGCUGGGUUUAGAACGUCGUGAGACAGUUCGGUCCCUAUCUGCCGUGGGCGCUGGAGAACUGAGGGGGGCUGCUCCUAGUACGAGAGGACCGGAGUGGACGCAUCACUGGUGUUCGGGUUGUCAUGCCAAUGGCACUGCCCGGUAGCUAAAUGCGGAAGAGAUAAGUGCUGAAAGCAUCUAAGCACGAAACUUGCCCCGAGAUGAGUUCU